AAACAAUCCAGGACUCAUAUUUCAG
rnacentral:piRNA from 1 species